UACCAUGCAGUCGAACGCCCCGCAGGGGAGUGGCAGACGGGUGAGUAACGCGUGGGAACAUACCCUUUCCUGCGGAAUAGCUCCGGGAAACUGGAAUUAAUACCGCAUACGCCCUACGGGGGAAAGAUUUAUCGGGGAAGGAUUGGCCCGCGUUGGAUUAGCUAGUUGGUGGGGUAAAGGCCUACCAAGGCGACGAUCCAUAGCUGGUCUGAGAGGAUGAUCAGCCACAUUGGGACUGAGACACGGCCCAAACUCCUACGGGAGGCAGCAGUGGGGAAUAUUGGACAAUGGGCGCAAGCCUGAUCCAGCCAUGCCGCGUGAGUGAUGAAGGCCUUAGGGUUGUAAAGCUCUUUCACCGAUGAAGAUAAUGACGGUAGUCGGAGAAGAAGCCCCGGCUAACUUCGUGCCAGCAGCCGCGGUAAUACGAAGGGGGCUAGCGUUGUUCGGAAUUACUGGGCGUAAAGCGCACGUAGGCGGAUAUUUAAGUCAGGGGUGAAAUCCCGCAGCUCAACUGCGGAACUGCCUUUGAUACUGGGUAUCUUGAGUAUGGAAGAGGUAAGUGGAAUUCCGAGUGUAGAGGUGAAAUUCGUAGAUAUUCGGAGGAACACCAGUGGCGAAGGCGGCUUACUGGUCCAUUACUGACGCUGAGGUGCGAAAGCGUGGGGAGCAAACAGGAUUAGAUACCCUGGUAGUCCACGCCGUAACGAUGAAUGUUAGCCGUCGGGCAGUAUACUGUUCGGUGGCGCAGCUACGCAUUAAACAUUCCGCCUGGGGAGUACGGUCGCAAGAUUAAAACUCAAAGGAUUUGACGGGGCCCGCACAAGCGGUGGAGCAUGUGGUUUAAUUCGAA
rnacentral:rRNA from 1 species